GGAAGUAAAGUAUUAGCAGUUUUUUCUAUAUUUUUUUGUCCUGUUAUAUAGACAGUCUCUGAUGCGGACUGUCUGCCUUGAAGGUACUGCUUGCAUUUGUCACACAGAGCCAAUGUGUUUUCCAAAAGGAGCGAAAGAAGACAUCUACAUCAGGGUCUUACAGUUACAACCACCCAUUAGUUACCAGGUCAUUCUAUGACCAGUCCCUUGGCAGAAUGUGGCAGUUCGAGACAGAGAAAAAAAUUUCACUAAUUCCCCAAACGCCAUUUGGGGACAGCAGGACGGGCGUUUAAAAAAAUAUCCCCAAUAUCAGUAUACUGAUUGCUUUUGUUUCUUUUCUUGUAUGCACCGAAAAACUGUCAACGGCGCAAUCCAAAGCCGUCAUUCAAAACAUUGGGCUUCCCUUUGAACAAAGAACAUGGCAUCAAAUUGGUGCAAAUAGAACUUUUCUGACAUUUCCUUGGUCUGUCAUACUGCUGUGUGCAUUUAGACACAGUGUAGUUGGUCUGCAUGUACGGAUUGCGGAGCCGCGGAACCUCUUCGCCGUCUUCAUGAUACAUUGCACACUAUUCGUAGCAUUGUUGUGUAGGUACCGUUUCUUACUAGUGACUGCAUCCAUGGCCAAUGACUUAGAACCGUCAAGUACCGUAAAGUUUGUUUCUGUUUGCUUCCUGAUAGAUAGUUUUUUGCAUGGGUUUGAAUUAAGGCCGAUGGUCUGACAUGCCUACUACGAGUAUACCAUGUUUAGCAGAAAUGCAGUAAUUGUGCGAAGAGGAAAGAGUUUUCGAGAAGGGCUAUGUCGUCUGCAAAGUCAAUGUCAGCAAACUUUUUGACAGGGUAGUGACGGCUACGAGGACGGCGUAGGUACAGCCUUCAGUGUCUGAGAUAGAACACCUGAAUAAAAACAGGGCAAGAGGGUCCCCUUGGGGAACGUCAGUGCCAAUACUAAACACAUCGAUCACUCCAUCUGGAGUUAGACAGCUACAGAUUUAUGUGAGACAGUCCCGCCUACAGGAGGCGGAUACUAGUUCCGCCUACAGGAGGCGGAAACCUUCCAACGGGGCGGAACAAGAGAUAAAAAAGAUUAAUUGCAAGGGGCGGAGUCCCACAUGAGGUAUUUGCGGUCGGCCAAUCAAGCACAUUCUCAGGAUAUCAGCUGACCAUUCUGGAGAUCUCAUCAUUUUGACCAUCAUUGAGGACUCUGUAGUGGGGAUAAGUGGACGUGCUGGAAAAGGCCUCUUAGUUAUCCACCGUAUUUCUCCUAGUUCAGAAGUAGGUAGCAGAAAGGCAAAGAGGCCAGCUUGCGGAGGCCCGAUGGAGAAAGCAACGCAAAAGCUCUACAUGACAGCAUCGACAACAGUCACAAGAAAGAGAGCUGAACUUGGACGGUAGUCAGAAAACCAGCAAUAGCAGCUUUAAAAUACAACUUCUACAUGUAGUCUAUCACCUCAACAAAACGGGAAUCAAUGUAUAUGUAGUGAGGCUUGACAAUCAGUCUAUAGCUACAGAUUCUGUGGUACUAAUAGCCAUGCAUACACCUUGUUACAAGACAGAGAGUUUCUCCUUGAAUGUACUAUUACCAAGAUUCACUGUUAUAGACGAACAUCCAAAGUUAUAAAACAAAAAAAAUGUUCUGUUCUGCAAGCUUUAUAUAUAGUGAAUAUUUUGUUAUAUUCAGAUGUAAUAAAAGUAUGUUUGAUGUGUAUGUUGAUGAAAUAAAGUUAUAAUCAAUUGUGUGGAUCAUUUGUCUUGCAAA